rnacentral:rRNA from 1 species
AUGGGAACGCGAAGAACCUUACCUACUCUUGACAUCCAGAGAACUUUCCAGAGAUGGAUUGGUGCCUUCGGGAACUCUGAGACAGGUGCUGCAUGGCUGUCGUCAGCUCGUGUUGUGAAAUGUUGGGUUAAGUCCCGCCAACGAGCGCAACCCGUUAUCCUUUGUUGCCAGCGGUCCGGCCGGGAACUCAAAGGAGACUGCCAGUGACAAACUGGAGGAAGGUGGGGAUGACGUCAAGUCAUCAUGGCCCUUACGAGUAGGGCUACACACGUGCUACAAUGGCGCAUACAAAGAGAAGCGACCUCGCGAGAGCAAGCGGACCUCAUAAAGUGCGUCGUAGUCCGGAUUGGAGUCCGCAACUCGACUCCAUGAAGUCGGAAUCGCUAGUAAUCGUAGAUCAGAAUGCUACGGUGAAUACGUUCCCGGGUCUUGUACACACCG